GCGCCGCCCGGCCCCGCCUCGCUCCCGGCCCGGGUCCCUUGGAGCUCUGGCUUCGACCCUCCGCCCCGCCCAGCUCCCCGCUCUCCUCGCUCCUGCGCCAUCCACCGCUCGGGCUAUCGCCCACCCAGACCCGUGCCCCUCCGCCGCCCACAGCUCCGCACUGCCUGGCCCUUGUCCGCGUAGGACAGGUUACCGGACCAGCUGGAGGAGGGGCCUGGGAGCCGUGUGUCCCUGGUGCACCCCGCCCCGCGAUUCCCCCAAAUCUACCUCCAGAAUUCCUUUUUGGGUUAGGGUUGCAAGAGAUGGGCACCCUAGAGUCCCUUACCAGGGAAGGGAUGAGUGGGGGGAGGAGUUGAGCUGUUCCCAAGUCCCCCGGAGAGCCCCCCUGGGGAGCAAAUAUUUCCCCCCCUCUGUAAUCGGCUCAGCCUGGUCUCACUGACCUCCACCUCCCCCAACAACUGAGUGUCUUGGCACCUGGGUGUGUGUGGGUGGGGAGGGGAAUCCAAUCUCCCUUCCUUUCCAUCUGGCCUGUGGACAAAGGGCAGGGGGACCAUCUGGUCCCACCAGGGUGGGGGAGGGGCCCACAGUGUUGGUCCCAGGGGGUGGGGGAGGGGCGGCGCUCUGGAAACUGCAAGAGCCUGUGGGGUCUAAUUGCAUCACUUUAUUUCACCGACCUCCACUCUCUGUCUCCCCACCCCCACCCCCACAGCAGAAAACAAGCUUGGCUGAGAAGAUCCAGGCUUGAUGACCCCAGGGGGUGUGGAGCAUCCAGAAGGAAAGGGAAAAGCAAGAACUGAGAGGCAGAGAGCUCAUCAGUCCAUCACUGCAAGAUAAAGAAGCAGAAAAGACAGACCCCAAAAGAACCCAGAAAGACAUAUAGACAGACACACCUGUUGCAUGUGCAUGACGAGCCAGAGCCCAUGGAGGGGAGAGAGAGAGAGAGAGAGACCUCAAGGAAUAACAGUGUCCUGGAAAGAAUCAGGUUCUGACGUCCAACAGGAUUGGAUCCAAGUCCCAGUUAUCCAUUUACUGUCCAUGUGACCUUGGAGCCUGCCCCAAACGUGAGUGUGGUUACCUCCCAUCGCAGUUGAGGACACAGGCUCGGAGACACUGAGACAGUGCCCGGUAACAGUGAGGAGCAGCUGGGCAGUGUCCAAACCAUAUCUGGGUCAAGACUGGAAAAGCUCAAAGGUCCUUGUGUACUGAAGGUCAGUGUGUACUGAACUCUGUCAAACUCUGGGCCCAGCCUGCCUAUGUCCUCCCAGUCCUUCCAGGGCCCCAGCCGUGGGUCCCCAAUGAAGCCUCCCCAGCCCCUGCCCAGAAGCCUGCCCCUGAAGUACCUGGUAGGUCAAUGGCCACAGCCCGGUAGCCAGCCUGGGCCAGCAUGUGCAGCGUACCCAGGUUCUGCCAGGUCUCGGAGGAGAAGCGGAUACCGUGCAACAGCAGCACAGAGAAGCGGACCUGCCCACUGGCCGGCCGUGCCUCUCGGAAGAAGAGGCUCUGGCCCUGCACCUGGAAGGUGGCCUCGCUCUGCUUCACAACGGCCGCCAUACCUGCUGCUGCCCUGCUGAUCAAAUGCCUGUGGUUCAAAGCCAGGCUGAUGAGGGGCCACAGAACAACUGCCCAGGUGGAGCAGGGAGGCCGCCACAGACAGGAGGCUUCCAGAACUCUAGGAACAUGCUUUGGGGUCAGGAUGACAUAGGUGUUAUUUCUGCCUCUGCCACUCAGUUGUGUAACCUUGGGCCUCAGCUCCUUCCUCUGCAAUAUGGGAACAAUAAA